CUAUGUGUGUGUGUGUGUGUGUAUGUAUGUGUAUAUAUAUGUAUGUAUAUGCUUUCUCUCUCUAGAAUUCUUUGAAUAUCUGGGGCUGUUGUUUUUCUUUCUUUGCGAUGACUUAAGAGGAAUAGCAGAGAAGUUGGGCUGAAAUAUGUUGUUUUGGUUGCACCUACCUAUAGUUGUUCUGGCCCAAGAUUGUAAUAUGCAAAUGGCUCAACAUCAGUGCUGAGGAGUUUGAUUACAGUGUCAAUGACACCGACGAUGGCGACUCCAAUUCCAAUCCCGAAGAAAUUGGUGAAUGGAGAAGACAAUCGCAAUUUCGGGAUAGCGACAAAUGAGAUGAAGUUGAGACUGAUCUUACUGCUUAAUGCACGAUGCGUUGAAGAGCUUGGAAGAGAAGUGCUCAUAGAGAGAUUGUUUGAAGAUGAUCAAGUCUGUUGAAUUUCUCUGAGAAGUCCAGUCCAAAGAAAUGUGGAUUCCCAAAAUUUCUCUAGAGUUGUGACUGUGUUUUUUCUCUUUUCUUUGAGUUGUUGUUGACUCAAGUGAGAUCAUAGGUGGCUAGUUUGCAGUUGUUGUAUCUGCUUGUUGUCUAGCUUAUUCUAGAAGGGUCAAAUCGUGCUAUUGAUGGGUGGAGUUGAUACUGUUAUUGCCUCAUGCUACCUCCAGUUAAUCAUUUGUC